rnacentral:misc_RNA from 1 species
GGAAUCAUGAGAAGCCUGCAGCCUGCAGUUUUGAUUAGGCCCUUGAUGUUGAACCACAGGAGUCGUGCGUGAGUCGGCCAUUGAUGGUCUCCAAAUCCCGUUUUAUAAAAAAUUAAUAAUGCCCAUGAAUCCAUUCUCAUCUUCAAAAAACAGGACCAAUUCCACUUUUCUCAGACUCAUGCACCCAAAGUCCAAGGUCCGCCAAGUCCAACUC